GACGUAGGGGGCGAGCGUUGUCCGGAUUUAUUGGGCGUAAAGCGUGCGUAGGCGGCUGCGCAAGUCGGGUGUGAAACCCCGGGGCUCAACCCCGGAACUGCAUCCGAUACUGCGUGGCUAGAGGUAGGUAGGGGAGAUCGGAAUUCCUGGUGUAGCGGUGAAAUGCGCAGAUAUCAGGAGGAACACCCGUAGCGAAGGCGGCACUCUGGGCCGAUACUGACACUGAGGAGCGAAAGCGUGGGGAGCGAACAGG
rnacentral:rRNA from 1 species